rnacentral:rRNA from 1 species
GAUGAACGCUGGCGGCGUGCCUAAUACAUGCAAGUCGAGCGAACAGACGAGGAUUUUGGUCGUCCGAGGUUAGCGGCGGACGGGUGAGUAACACGUGGAUAACCUACCUAUAAGACUGGUAUAACUUUGGGAAACCUGAGCUAAUACGGGAUAAUAUAUCGCACUGAAUGGUUCAAUCGUGAAAGUCGCUUUUGCUGUCACUUAUAGAUGGCUCCGCGCCGCAUUAGUUAGUUGGUGAGGUAACGGCUUACCCAGGCAGCGAAGCUUACCCGACCUGAAGGGGUGAUCGACCACCCGGGAGCAGAGGCACACUCCAGACUCCUACAGGGAGCCACGGUAGGGAAUCCUCCGGGAUGGGGGAGAGGGUGAUGGAGCGACACCGCGUAAAGGAUGAAGGUGUUCGGAUCGGAAAACUCUGAUGUUAUGAGGAAACAAAUAUGUUUGUAACUGUGAACAUCAUGACGGUACCUGGAGAGGAAGCCACGGCUAACUACGUG